GAGUUUGAUCUUGGCUCAGAUUGAACGCUGGCGGCAGGCCUAACACAUGCAAGUCGAGCGGAUGACGGGAGCUUGCUCCUUGAUUCAGCGGCGGACGGGUGAGUAAUGCCUAGGAAUCUGCCUGGUAGUGGGGGACAACGUUUCGAAAGGAACGCUAAUACCGCAUACGUCCUACGGGAGAAAGCAGGGGACCUUCGGGCCUUGCGCUAUCAGAUGAGCCUAGGUCGGAUUAGCUAGUUGGUGGGGUAAUGGCUCACCAAGGCGACGAUCCGUAACUGGUCUGAGAGGAUGAUCAGUCACACUGGAACUGAGACACGGUCCAGACUCCUACGGGAGGCAGCAGUGGGGAAUAUUGGACAAUGGGCGAAAGCCUGAUCCAGCCAUGCCGCGUGUGUGAAGAAGGUCUUCGGAUUGUAAAGCACUUUAAGUUGGGAGGAAGGGCAGUAAGUUAAUACCUUGCUGUUUUGACGUUACCGACAGAAUAAGCACCGGCUAACUCUGUGCCAGCAGCCG
rnacentral:rRNA from 7 species